CAAUAGCGUAUAUUAAAGUUGUUGCGGUUAAAAAGCUCGUAGUUGGAUUUCUGCUGAGAACGACCGGUCCGCCCUUUGGGUGUGUAUCUGGCUCUUUCUUGGCAUCUUCUUGGUGAACGUUGCUGCACUUGACUGUGUGGAGCGCUACCCAGGACUUUUACUUUGAGGAAAUUAGAGUGUUUCAAGCAGGCAUACGCCUUGAAUACAUUAGCAUGGAAUAAUAAGAUAGGACCUCGGUUCUAUUUUGUUGGUUUCUAGAGCUGAGGUAAUGAUUAAUAGGGAUAGUUGGGGGCAUUCGUAUUUAACUGUCAGAGGUGAAAUUCUUGGAUUUGUUAAAGACGAACUACUGCGAAAGCAUUUGCCAGGGAUGUUUUCAUUAA
rnacentral:rRNA from 1 species